rnacentral:misc_RNA from 1 species
AAUUCUCAAAACCCUUUCUUUGGUCUCUCGAUCGGGGGAAGGAUUUUGGACUUGGAGGCCUUUUGCUGGUUUCACCUCGAAGCGAGCUCCUCCCAAAUGAAUUAGUGGGGUCUGCUUUGCCGAUCCUUGGCGUGAUAAGUCAUUUCUACGUCUUGGGUUUUUGGCACUGUACACCUGCUUCCAACCGUCUCAUUGACAAACGAUGGUGUUCCGGUCGCCGCCGAUUCGUCGGUGGGAGGCUUGACCCACGAAAUGAAC